GUGCACGCUGGCGGUAGGCCUAACACAUGCCAGUCGAACGGCAGCACAGUAAGAGCUUGCUCUUACGGGUGGCGAGUGGCGGACGGGUGAGGAAUACAUCGGAAUCUACUUUUUCGUGGGGGAUAACGUAGGGAAACUUACGCUAAUACCGCAUACGACCUACGGGUGAAAGCAGGGGAUCUUCGGACCUUGCGCGAUUGAAUGAGCCGAUGUCGGAUUAGCUAGUUGGCGGGGUAAAGGCCCACCAAGGCGACGAUCCUAGCUGGUCUGAGAGGAUGAUCAGCCACACUGGAACUGAGACACGGUCCAGACUCCUACGGGAGGCAGCAGUGGGGAAUAUUGGACAAUGGGCGCAAGCCUGAUCCAGCCAUACCGCGUGGGUGAAGAAGGCCUUCGGGUUGUAAAGCCCUUUUGUUGGGAAAGAAAAGCAGCAGGUUAAUACCCCGCUGUUCUGACGGUACCCAAAGAAUAAGCACCGGCUAACUUCGUG
rnacentral:rRNA from 1 species